rnacentral:rRNA from 1 species
UACGGAGGGGGCAAGCGUUGUUCGGAAUUACUGGGCGUAAAGGGCGCGCAGGCGGCUGCUCAAGUCAGGCGUGAAAGGCCUGGGCUCAACCCGGGAAUUGCGCUUGAGACUGGGCUGUCUUGAGUGCGGGAGAGGAUGGUGGAAUUCCCAGUGUAGAGGUGAAAUUCGUAGAUAUUGGGAAGAACACCGGUGGCGAAGGCGGCCAUCUGGACCGCAACUGACGCUGAGGCGCGAAAGCGUGGGGAGCAAACAGG